GACGAACGCUGGCGGCGUGCUUAACACAUGCAAGUCGAACGGAAAGGCCCUGCUUUUGUGGGGUGCUCGAGUGGCGAACGGGUGAGUAACACGUGAGUAACCUGCCCUUGACUUUGGGAUAACUUCAGGAAACUGGGGCUAAUAUCGGAUAGGAGCUCCUGCUGCACGGUGGGGGUUGGAAAGUUUCGGCGGUUGGGGAUGGACUCGCGGCUUAUCAGCUUGUUGGUGGGGUAGUGGCUUACCAAGGUUUCGACGGGUAGCCGGCCUGGGAGGGUGACCGGCCACAUUAGUACUGAGAUACGGCCCAGACGCCUACGGGAGGCAGCAGUGGGGAAUAUUGCACAAUGGGCGGAAGCCUGAUGCAGCAACGCCGCGUGCGGAAUGACGGCCUUCGGGUUGUAAACCUCUUUCGCCUGUGACGAGGCGUGAGUGACGGUAAUGGGUAAAGAAGCACCGGCUAACUACGUG
rnacentral:rRNA from 1 species